GGCGGCGUAGCUCAGUUGGCUAGAGCACACGGUUCAUACCCGUGGUGUCAGCGGUUCAAAUCCGUUCGCCGCUA
rnacentral:tRNA from 1 species